GUUCCCUACACGACGCACUGCUGUGCUAUGUACGAAACCCCGACCCAGAAGCAGGUCGUCUAUGAAUGGUUUAGCACCAGG